rnacentral:rRNA from 1 species
CAGGGAUUGCCUUAGUAACGGCGAGUGAAGCGGCAAUAGCUCAAAUUUGAAAUCUGGCGCUUGCGUCCGAGUUGUAAUUUGUAGAGGAUGAUUUUGGUUAGGUACCUUUCGAGUUCCUUGGAACAGGACGCCUUAGAGGGUGAGAGCCCCGUACGAUUGGAUGCCGAGCCUCUGUAAAUCUCCUUCGACGAGUCGAGUAGUUUGGGAAUGCUGCUCUAAAUGGGAGGUAAAUUUCUUCUAAAGCUAAAUACCGGCCAGAGACCGAUAGCGCACAAGUAGAGUGAUCGAAAGAUGAAAAGCACUUUGAAAAGAGGGUUAAAUAGCACGUGAAAUUGUUGAAAGGGAAGGAUUUAUGACCAGACUUUUUCUAGGAGGAUCAUCCGGUGUUCUCACCGGUGCACUUCUUCUAGUUUAGGCCAGCAUCGACUUUCGGCGGCGGAUAAAAGCUUCGGGAAUGUGGCUCUCCUCGGAGAGUGUUAUAGCCUGUUGUAUAAUACGCUGCUGGGGGUCGAGGUACGCGCUUCUGCAAGGAUGCUGGCGUAAUGGUUAUCAAUCACCCGUCUUGAAACACGGACCAAGGAGUCGAACAUUUAUGCGAGUGUUUGGGUGUUAAACCCUCACGCGUAAUGAAAGUGAACGGAGGUGAGAGCCCUUACGGGUGCAUCAUCGACCGAUCCUGAAGUUUUCGGAUGGAUUUGAGUAAGAGCAUAACUGUUCGGACCCGAAAGAUGGUGAACUAUGCGUGGAUAGGGUGAAGCCAGAGGAAACUCUGGUGGAGGCUCGCAGCGGUUCUGACGUGCAAAUCGAUCGUCAAAUCUGCGCAUGGGG